ACGGAAGGCAGCAGUGGGGAAUAUUGCACAAUGGGGGAAACCCUGAUGCAGCAACGCCGCGUGAGUGAUGAAGGUCUUCGGAUUGUAAAGCUCUGUCUUUAGGGACGAUAAUGACGGUACCUAAGGAGGAAGCCACGGCUAACUACGUGCCAGCAGCCGCGGUAAUACGUAGGUGGCAAGCGUUAUCCGGAAUUACUGGGUGUAAAGGGAGUGUAGGCGGGACUGUAAGUCAGAUGUGAAAUAUGCCGGCUCAACUGGCAGACUGCAUUUGAAACUGCGGUUCUUGAGUGAAGUAGAGGUAAGCGGAAUUCCUAGUGUAGCGGUGAAAUGCGUAGAUAUUAGGAGGAACAUCAGUGGCGAAGGCGGCUUACUGGGCUUUAACUGACGCUGAGGCUCGAAAGCGUGGGGAGCAAACAGGAUUAGAUACCCUGGUA
rnacentral:rRNA from 1 species